rnacentral:tRNA from 1 species
CUAUAGUUCAGUCGGUUAGAGCGUCAGAUUGUGGUUCUGAAUGUCGUGGGUUCGAGUCCCAUCAG